AUGAAUAAUUAUUUCUGGAAUUCUUUAAUUAGUGGGCCUGGAGUUACCAUCUUUGUUCUUUGCUUAUAUCUAAUACAAGUACAGACUGGUUCUGACAGUCUUUGGGAGGGAGUGCUGGAGGAUUUGAACCAAAUCGAAAAGACAGAGAUGGAUGUCUUUUUAUACACUGCAGAUGCAAAAUUUCCGGCUAAUUGUAGUGUACGUGUAAAGAAAUGUUUUGUUGAGGAGAUGAAAGUAAUUGUAUAUGAGUCUCAGCUUGAAAACAAUAACAAGGUUCGUGGCACCAUGAGUAGAAUUAUCAGAAUUGUCAUGGAGGAUUUAGAAGGCAGGCAGGUAAGUGAAACACUAUGCAAACUACAUGUUAUGCUUGUAUUGUAUGCAGAAAAUUUGCAAAAGCCACAAUUCCUCUUGCAAGGUUGUCACACCUUUCUGAUACCGAUGUCACAACUCACAUUGUCUUUUCACUUGACUACUGAGGUGGUGGUCUCUUUAAAUCACCACAGAAAUAAAUAUGUUUUCUUUAAUAAUCUUCACAUUUCCUCUCUUCCUUCUUUGCUGCCACCAACCUUUAGCUGCCUCUAUUGGUGUGUAUUUGCCCUUAUAACACCUUCCAUAUACCUGUCUAUACUUCAGCUACUAAGUGGCUGAACUGAGCACCACUUAGUUUGAAUAGAACAAAUAAGGCUUUAUUAAUAAGUGUUAAAAGAGGGUUGUUUAUUCAUAAAUUUUACAUUCAUUCAGUGCAAUCUUUCACUCUUUCCAUUACCUCUUCCCCACCUCAUUUUCUCUCAGACUGCUCUCCCUCACUUCUCUCCACACCAGACUGCUCAAAAACCUCACCAGUACUCCGCCCCCCUACUUUCUCACAGCCAAUUAGAGCCACUCUUACUGACAUUCCAUGUUCCUCACUCACCCCCUCCCUUGCAUACUUGCCAAACCAUAUAAACAAUACAUUUAACUAUAAUUUGUCAUCACAAUAUUCCUCAACAGGAGGUAUCUUUUACCAGCAAAUAUAGAAAUGGAACAGAGAACUGAACAGAGUAUGCACUUAUUUACAGAGCUUCUCUGAUGUAUUCGUUUUUCUGAUUGACCAUGGCAUGUUCUCAUGUAUUCUUCAAUUGUGUGCUUUUUCAGCAAGUAUGUUGACAUUUCAUGCAAACAGAACAUGCCACAGGUCUCAUUAAUGUGCAGAUUUUUGAGGCAAGGUGUGUUUUGUCUUGCAGUAAGUCUUGGGAAAUGAGCAAUUAGAAAUUUUGGUGAGAAUUUUGAAACCAUCCCAAAAAGUCCCCAUCCCUAGAACUGCCUACUUUUGCUUGUAGCUUUUCUUUGAACGUUUCUUCCAAACUGCUUUGAUUUCCACAAGUUAUCAGACUCUUAUCUGCAAAUAUGUGACCAUAAUUUUGACUUCUUGAGUGGGAGGGUUUUAGUCAUUAACACAUAACUGUCCUUUGAGCUAUAUAUACUGUAUGUUUAUAAAUUUUUGUUUGCACUGUGUGAGUGUUGUAGCAUCCACCACCAGCCUCUAAGGCUUAGUUAAGUGACAUAAUCGUAGCCAGCAGCAGCACAGAUGAAUCCAUAUGUCUUGGCCAUUUUCAUACUUAAGGCCAAGGAUAUAUAACCUCUGAACAACCUCCAGUGAGACAGUUCAGGUGCUGCAUAAAUCCUUUUGAGAGAUUUGUUAUGUCCCAUCAAGUUGCAUCCAACUUAUGUGAAAUAUUUAAUUUUACCAUUAACACUACUCCAAGAGUAUGCACUUAUUCCAUGACUCCUCCUAGUGGGAUUCUUUUACUUAGUUUGUACUUCAAAUCAGGUCUGCUGAGUCCUGGUCCAACAGUCUCUUGAGAGAUUUGCAUGUAUAGUUUUGGAAUAUUGCACAAGGAUAUGAGGAAUAUUGCACAAAGAUAUGAGGAAAUACCUCAAGAUUUUGCAUACAUUCAUGUAGAAUGUGUGCCAUAAGGCACCCCUUUUGAGAUGCCCAAAAGAAUACUCAUACCAACCUAAUAUUUUGUUGGGAGAACUCUGAGACGUGAAGAGAUUCUAAAGUGAGGAAACAGAGAAUGCUGAAAAGUAGAUAUAGAGAUGCUAGCGGCUGGUUUAGCAUACAACAAUAAUAAAUAAACUUGCUACCUUUUUCA
rnacentral:lncRNA from 1 species